UGCUACCCUUGACACAAAGGGAGCUCAGGGACGCGCCUUCGGAGUCCCUGGGGAGGCAGGGAGUCGGCGCCAGGGAACCACACCAGUUCACAACCAGAGCUGCCAACUCCAGAGCGCUCGCGUCCCACGACCAACACUCCCAACUCGGCCCACCGGCUCGCCCUUCCCUCGCCCGCCAAAAAGAUGCCAUCUCACCUGGCUCCAGAUUCCUGUACCCCCCCCAGGGGACGAUGGCAAGGGAGACACGCCACCCUCGCCCCUUUGCCCUCCAGUGGCAGAAGAUGCCCUUGAUCUUCUUCGAAGCCUCAUCCAUGUUUUUCUGGAAUCAGGCCACCAGGACAUUGGAUACAGACUGUUGGACAGAAUGAAUCUGAACCCCAUGACCACCACCCUGGAUGUCCAACCAGCUCCAGUAACUUGUAUUUCAAUGUGUGGCUCCAUCACCACCAGGGGGCGCCGUUCAUCUUGAUAAAGCUGUUUGCAGUUUGCAUUGUACCCUGACUGUGCUGUCUUCUGGAGAUCCGUGUGCAUAGCCUGACCCCAACAGCAGACCCGAGUCCCUCACCCCCAUGCAGCUGCCAUUGGGAGUUUAAGCUAAAUGCCAACAUGACUGGAUUUACAGUCACCGUGGAGACACAUGGGUGUACCUAUGAGGGUGUUUCCAGAAAGGUUUAAGUCAAGAGGAAUGACCUGCUCUAAAUAUGGGCUGGGCUCC
ensembl:lncRNA